rnacentral:rRNA from 1 species
CAGUCGCCGCGGUAAUACGUAGGUGGCAAGCGUUGUCCGGAAUUAUUGGGCGUAAAGCGCGCGCAGGCGGAUAGGUCAGUCUGUCUUAAAAGUUCGGGGCUUAACCCCGUGAUGGGAUGGAAACUGCCAAUCUAGAGUAUCGGAGAGGAAAGUGGAAUUCCUAGUGUAGCGGUGAAAUGCGUAGACAUUAGGAAGAACACCAGUGGCGAAGGCGACUUUCUGGACGAAAACUGACGCUGAGGCGCGAAAGCGUGGGGAGCAAACAGGAUUAGAUACCCCAGUAGUCCCUGUCUCUUAUACA